AUGGUAUUUAGAUUUAGAUUCACUCCACCACACAUAAUAGAGAAAAAACUGUGCACCUUAUUAUUUGGACGAACAGGUUCGUCUUCCAACUUGCGUCGCUGAACCUCCGUGGCAAGUUCAUCAAUGAUAUCCUCCAGGUCGUAAGCCAAAUCUCUGAGAUCGCAUAACCAGAUCCCCACCAAUCGAUUUGCCGUCUGCUUCUCCUCUGCAUCUUCAAGCACCGCAUGAAUUCUCUUGAGCAUCUUCUCCCACUUCUUGAGUUGAGCCAGGACUUGGCCUUGGCCAACGUAUUUCAUCAAGUCAACGGAACUCAACCUGUCGAGAAGCCCCUGAAAGCAAAAAGCGAGGAUAGAGCCUCCAAAAGCAGUCACAAUAUCCAUGGCGAAGAGUGAGCUGUAAAAGAAUAAGCUAUGAACUCUGAAGAUUGAAGAAAGAGUUGGCAAUGGUCAGUUGAGAAGGUCCUCCGAAUAUGGAUUGGUGGUCCCUACUCUCUAUUUCGACGUGAUUUUGUAGAAGGGAAACAAAUUGAUUCUCUGUCCAUAUUAUUAUAUAGUAUUAAUUUAAUUAACUAACUAUUUUAAAUUGUAAAUUAUUAACUAUUUUUCUUCCCUCCAGUCAUCUAAAACUAUAUCAUUUAAUUAAGUUUAAACAGUAAACAAUUUAAUUAUUUUAGUUUAAUUUAGAUUUAAUUAAAAAAUUUAUUAUAAUAAUACUAAAUUAUUAAAAACUAUUAUUAAUAAUUCUAAUAUUUAUCGUCCUUUUACUUGAUAACAUUUAUUAAUAUUAAAAAAUUACUUCUAUAUAAUAAAUUUAACGGCACUUACAGAUUUAAUUCAGUAAUAAAAUAUAAAUUGUCUGAAUUAAAAGAAAAAAGUUUUAGAAGGGUAAUUUACGAUCUAUUAAAAUUACAAAAUAUUUACAACAGUAUGCUAAUGAAACACACAAAUCAUUGGAGAAAGCUCCAUGCUUGAUCAUAUAUGGCUAUGCUUGUAUCUCAUUUCAAAUAACACUUGAAAUGUCCCUUUGAUAAUAUUACCAAAGUGGAAGCGUUAUCCUGUUAUUAUCAUCUUCCAAGAAUCCCACCCACAUCACUCUUAAGCUCACUUUCUAACAUUUCUAUGUAAGGAGACACUAAAAUUAGCAUUUGAACCUACCGGUAAAGCACCAUGUCAUUAAGUAUCUCCAGAAUCAUUUUUUGACUUUUUAACUAAGAAAUUAUCUGUAAAAAGUAAAUAAAUGAGGUGCUCGAUACCAAUAGGUAAUCACUCUUAAAAAUUAAUUGAAAUGCAUGGGUGAGUUUAGAAUUUAAUUGAAUGUUUAAAAAUUAUUUAUCUUGAAUGUUAAUUUAUAUUUAUUUUUAUACUAUAAAAAGAUAGAGCUAAUUGUUCAUUAUCCAUAGAACUCAAAACUAUUGGCAGUGAAUAAUAAAUUUCAUAUAUGUAGGAAUUUCAUAAAUUUUGUAUCAACAAUAGCUAAGUAACGAAGGUUAGGCUUGUUUGGAUCUCGUAAGCCUUGUUGUAUUCGAGUUCUGAAUAUUAGGGGUGAGCAAUCAUUCGAUUUGGUUUAAAAAUGAAUUGAAUAAAUUGAAAAUAAAAAUUUUGGUAUUUAUAAAAAUCGAAUCAAAUCGAUUUUAAUUAAAAAUAAAAUCAAAUUGAAUCGAUCUAAUUCGAUUCGGUUUGAUCGAUUUAAAUUUUUAAUAAAUUUUUUAUUUUUUACACUUUAUUUUAAAAUUUAAUUAAAAUAUUUUAACUUAUCUAAUCUAAAAUAAUAUAUUAUUAUCAUUAAUCGAUUCGAUUUGAUUUUUUUAAUUUUCUUUUUUAUCAAAACUAAACUAAAUCAAAAUAAUCAAAAUUUUUAAAAUUAAAAAUUAAAUUAGAUCGAAAUAAAUAAAAAAUUAAACUGAUUAAUUCGAUCAAUUUUUUCGAUUUGAAUUAAAUAUUAUUUAUAUUAUUAAUAAUGACCAUGUCACUAUGUACGAAACCUAAGCUGUAAUCAUGUCAUCAAUGACGAGCUAAUGAAGUUUAGUCAAAGUUUUUCAACUUAUUGGCGAGGUAUGAAUCAUAUGAAAUAGCAACUCUAUCAAAGCUAUGCAAAAUAUUUUUGAAACAAGUAGAUUGUUUAUCUCAAAUUUGCCAAUUAUCAUUUUUCUCAAAAUUAAAAAUUGACUUAAAAUUUAUAUGAUGGUGUUAAUAAAUUUUUUUAAAAAUAGAGAAAAUUUGUGUAAUUCUCUUUUAACGAUCAAAUAAAUUUCAUGGACCAAUUUUUUUAAUAUCCCAAGUAUCAAAAAUUGUGAACAUAUUUUUCCAUCCAUCAAACAAAUCAAGCCUAAAAAGGGAAUUUGUUGAAAAAAAUUUAUUGAUUUGAGAAAAAUAAUUUAUCCACAAACUAUUUUCUCAAAAAUAUUUUGAAAUAUGUUUUUUCAAAAAUUAACUUAUUUUUUAUCAUUUAAUUGUAAUAUAUUAAAUAAUAAAUAGUAUUUUUAAAUUUAUACUAAAAAAUUAAUAGUAUUAGUAAAAUUAUCAACCACAAAUCCCAGCAACCAGCGUCAGAUCAAGAAAUCUCCAGGCAAAAGAAACAGAAACUAGAAAAGAACAUAAAUUCAUUUUACUGACUUGAAUAAAAAUCCCAAAAUCCAAAUUACACUCAUUUAUUUAUUUAAAGCCUUUUUUUCCUUUUUAUAGAUUAAAAACUCUGUUUAUGGUAAAAGAAUCUCUUAAUUUAAGAAUCAGAUUAGAUUAAGUUAAGAAUCAUUUUGAAUCAAAAUCUUAAUUAUUAUUAAGAAAAAAAUUAAGAGCAUAGAUGAGGAUGCAUUCUGAGGUUUUGAGGUUAGAAGCUUACAAUGAGGAUCACAAGAAGAGCUCCUUGCUUGAUUUCAAAAUGUCUAUUAACUGAUUCUCUUUUAAAACAGCUCCCAACGUUUCUUUGAUAACAUAAUGAAAGUAGAAGCAUUUUCCUAUUUUCAUCAUCCUCAGUGAAUCCCACCAAACUCUGCAGAGUUCUUGAGCUCACUUUCUACCAUUUCACAGCCACAGACAUAAAUCAAUAAAAGAGCUUGGAAGCACAGCUUUCAGUACCUGAAACGAAGCAGCUAUAUAAGAACAGCUGAAAUUUCCUGAUCAUAAAUAGCAAUAACAUGGAUGGACACAAAUUGAAUAAUAGAUAAGUUGAUCAGAACAAAAUGAGAAAGAAAAAAAAACAGUAAAACACCCAAUUUGUUCCUCUGCCAUUUAACACCAUGUUUAAGACAAAAUCAAGCGAUAGAAUUCAAUCCAAUCGUACUAAAAAAUCCAUGAAUUCACAUGUAAUCCAAUUAAAUAUGAGUAUUUGAAAUAAUUGAAAGGUCAACUGAAGUGAAGAAAAAAAAAUGCUCACAUCUGUAUAAUGCUGCAUUAUUUCAAAAAAGUACUACAGGAAUAUUAGCUAAUUGUUGGAGUGCUGCAAAGUCGUCUUUGAUUUCCCAUCACAACCUUAGGGAUAUAAGAAAUGAUAGGCCAGUAUAUCCCCCUUUAUCUUUUAAGCAACGGUCCCGCAGCAGCUGGCAGGUGCCAAUAUCUAGGCAUUCAAGUGUAGCAGGGAGGCCCUCAGCUAGGAAGGACUGCAGUUUUGGGCACCAACAAAUUCUUAAUUCUUCAAGAGAGGUGAGCUUUUGGAUACCCCUGGAUAUGGAUUUUAGAUUCUUCAAUCCACCAAUAAAGAGGUGGGUAAGAGAAGCGUCGUCAUCUGGAAAGGAAAUAAUAUCUCCAGUUGACUCCACGUUGAAAAUUCUCAAACUUCUAAGAGAGGCGAAUGUGGAGCAAUUUCUUAAAUUAUGCAUAAAUUUAAAAGGAAUUAUUAAUUGAUACAGAAUUUAAAAAUAUUUUCGAACAAAAUGUGAAAGUUUCAUUUUAAUGGAGUUUGUUUGGUAUUAUGAGUGUGUAUAUAUAUUUUGUAUAUUUUAUAUAAAAAUAAAAUUAUAAAUUAAAAUGUUAAAUUAAAAAAAAAUUAUUUUAAAUUAAGUAAUAUUGUUAAUAUAAUUUUUUAUAUAAUUUUUAUAAAUUUAAAAAUUUUAUUAAAUAAAAUAAAAAAAAUUUAAAAAUAAACUAAUUAGUAUUUAAAACUUUUAUCCCUUCAUAAUGAUAUAAUUUAAAAAAAUAUAUAAUUAUAUUUUUUAUUAUUUUAUCUGUAAAAUAAAAUACAUAAUUAUAAUAACGGUAAUAAUUUUUAAAAAAUAUAAUAAAUUAAAUUAAUAAAUUAUUUAAUUCCUCAUUUAUUUCUUUUUAAAUUUUUAUAAAUUUAUUUUAUUUUUAUUUUUAUAUUAUAAUAUUAUGUAAAUUGAUUAGUAUUAAUUUUAUUUUAUGUUAAAGUUAUUUUAAAUAAUUUUUAAUAUCUAAUACAAUGUAAUUUUUUUAAAUAAAUAUAACUAAGAAAAUAUAAUUUAAUAAUCUUAAAAAAAUUUAAUAAAAUAAAUUCUUAAAUUAUUUAAUCUUUAUUGUAUUUGUUAUUUAAUUAUUAUUUAUUUUAAUUGUUAUAUUAUAAUAGGAUAUAAAUUGAUUAGUAUUAAUUUAAUUUUAUGUUUAAUUUUUUAAAAUAUUUUUUAAUAUAUAUUUAAAUUUAAUAAAUUUAAAAUAAAUAUAUUUAUAAAAAAAUUUAAUAAUUUUAAAAAAAUAUAAUAAAUUAAAUUAAUAAAAUAAUGUAAAAUGCAUUCACCAAUGCACAUGCAUUACCCUCAUCGGCACUUUGAGUGCCGAAGAAUUUUUUACCCUUUCUUCAACACUUAUGAGUUCGCUAUCCAUAGUGAUAAUCCAUAGUGUAGAAUUAUUUGUGGUCGAACUUAUUCGGCAGUAUGAUUUCGAAGAAUGUCGAACACAUUUCAUACAAGAUUCAAAAAUAUUUUCGAUUCUAUAUGAAUUGAUAAUUUCUUUUUAAAUUACCAAUGAUUUGAAAAAUUACUCCGAGUCUUUGGAGUCCCACUCUGGCAUUGGCUGUUUCAGAUUCAAGCACUCCCAAAUACGAAGGGCAGUCAGGUUUGGGGGUAAACAACCUUCUCCUAAGGAUUCUAUACCUUCACAAUUUGAUAUAUAUAUGGAUUGAAGGGAAGUAAGCUUUUGCAUCUGAUUGGGUAGAGACCUCAAAUUUUUGCACCAGGAAAUUUCAAAUGACACAAGCUUGGGGUUGGGCAAUCCAAUCUCUGGGAACAACUCUAAUCGAGGACAGCCAAAUAUUUCUAACUUUUGGAGACUCUGGAAGUUUUGCAUAUGAUUGGAUAGAGACCUCAAUCCUUCACAGUCAGCGAUUGUUAAAAAGAUAAGAGAAGGGAGAGGCAAUUCCUUCCCUGGAAACGACUCUAAUUGAGGAUACUUUUUUAUGUGUAAUUCUGUAAGAUGAGAAAGCCCAUAGUAGAGCGAGUUUAAAAAUUGUGGCGUCCAGUUGUGAAUUCGAAGAGUCUUAAGGGAAUCUGGAACCUUGCCAUUUGAAGUGCACCUGAGGGAUUCACAUCCACAGAUAUCCAAUUUCUCGAGAUGAGACGUCUCAUUACUGGGAGACACAAUUCCCUCCGGCAGAGACUCCAAAGAUUCACACCUCGUAAUACGAAAACGUAUCAAGUUGUGUGGCAAACCCCCUGCUGGGAAGGAGACUAAACUUCUACAUCGGUUUAUUGUCAAAUCUUUGAGAGAUUUAAGGUCUUUCAGUCCAAAACUUCGAGAUUGCAAGGCAAGACCCCUUCCUCUCCAUCUACCAGUCACACAAGCUUAUAGCACUCCUUGAUUUCCAAACGCUUUAGGCUAGUAAGAGAAGUGGCAUUAGUCACACUCCUGAGAAUUGCCUCUUGACAUUGUGCAAAAUGAAGUCUUGUAACUGAUGGGAGCACUUUUGGUAAUUCAACCAAAUGCGGGCAAUAAGCGAUAACAAGAUUUUCCAGGGAAGGAAGGAAGUUGGGCAGUUCUCCAACCAACUUGGGACAAUUAUAUAGUUGAAGAUCAUGCAGCUUAGGAAAUUUUGGCACAGAAUCUUCACCCAGACCAUUAGACCAAGCCCACUGCUCCCACUCACGCACAUUUCUAAUUUCUAGUUCUUCCAAACAAGAAAAACAUGAAUCAUCCUCAUAAAACUCAACACCCACUUCUUUCAGUCCUCUCAUAUCUCCUACGCUCAACUUUUUUAAUGACUUUAAUCGUCCGAGCGGUGGCAAUGAUGUCAUUUGGCGACAGUUCCGUAGCUCCACCUGCACCAUGCCAGAGAAUGAAGGCUCACCUAGCCAUGAUGGGAAUUUCCUACCACCAAAUGAUGUAAUUGAUAAGCUUGACAGACUUUAAUGUGGCUGAAUUGAGUCGAGAACUUGUUCUUCAUGACUUGAGUUUCUCAAAUCAUCAAAAUGUUCAUCAGCUUCAGCCCAUUCCAAGUGCAACUCAGUGAUACCAGGCUUAUCCUUCAAACUGACAAAGCCCGCAUCUCGAAUAUCUGACACUUCCACAUUCUCUAAACUUGUGAUAUGAAGCUGCCCACGCAGAUUACAAAGUUUCUUCAACUCAGUGACCCGUCCAUUGCUUUUCCCCACAAUAAAUUUGGUCAACACGCAGAGACUAGUCAAAUUACCAAUAUGUGGUGGCAUCUCUUUCAAUUUCCAUGUGCCAAUAAUAUCUAGAUGCUGCAAGUUGAGUAAAUUGCAUAUGCCUUUAGGUAACUCAAUAAGCUUAUAACAAUUACACAACUUUAAUGUCUGUAAGUUUAAGAGUUUAUCCACUGAUUCAGGCAAUCUUCUGAUUGGAGUAUGAGGUAAGUCAAGGUAGCGUAAGUGCUUUAAGUCACCAAUAGAAUCCGGCAACUCAAUCUCAUAACGAGCUAGAGAUAGUGACCUUAAGCAUUUUAAUUUUGGCACCAACUCAUGCACCACCUUACUAGUUAUGUAGCAUCCAACCCAAUCCUUCCGCAUGGAUAAAAAUGUCCACAAAUUCUUCAUUCCAUAGAAGCUUUGAAAUCUUUGAGCAGUGUCUUUAAAAUGAGGAAUAAAUGAUGAAUGUCGAAUCUUUGCAUAUGAUUUUGUAUUCUCCAACUUAUCAACCAUAUGUAAACAUAUUUCUCUGCUAACAAAGCAAGCUAAAUCAAUAAUAAGGUCAUGCAUUAAAUAUUUUGAUUUAUCAUCAACCGAUUGUUGAAAAAACGAUCUCGAUAAUAAAUCAUCAAAAUAUUUAUGACUCAAACCUUCACUAUCCUUCAUUUUCUUCCGGUCAUACAAGAACCCCUCAGCCAUCCACAGCAAAACGGUUAAACUUGAACUAGGCCUAACUCACCCCAAAAGCUAGCUCUAGGAGGAGGAGUGCCUAUGACCCAUAUAAAGGCCUCACGCCCAGAAUUUUUACUGGUGCGUGGCACAUUUAUGGAACACCCAACAUCGUAUGGGGAGGCUUGAUACCAUGUUAAAUUUGGACUAGACCUAACUUAUCCCAAAAGUUAGCUCCUUUAGGAGGAGGAGUGCCUAUGAGCCAUAUAAGGGGCACAUUACCCCUUUCCACAUCAGACUGAUGUGGGAUUCAACAAAAACCAAUUCAUUCCUAUCAAACUCACGAUCCUUUGGUAGGAUUGCGCAAUAAGAGAAACAUCGCUUCAAAUGAGGUGGAAGAUGAAGAUAACUCAAUCUUAAGGCCGGGAGGAUAUUGCUCUUGUUGUCUGGUAAUUCCCAUAUCUCACUCCUCAACACUUCCUUCCACAAAUCAGGAUUCGGUUUACCCCUUAAGAUGCCUCCAAGAGCUUUUGCUGCCAAAGGUAAUCCUCCACAUCUUUUGACAAUCUCCUCACCCAUUUCUUUUAGCUCCAAGUGGUCGUCAAAAUUAUUUGCUCCCAGAGCAUGCUGCGCAAACAAAGACAUGCAUUCAUUCUGUGACAGCUUCUUAAGAGCAUAUGCUAGAGUGGUACCAAUCAUUAAUGAAACAUCUUGACUUCGAGUUGUGACAAUAACUCUGCUUUGAGGAGCCCCUGCUUCGAAAGGACCCCAAAACAGAGUCCAUUCCUCAUAGUUCUGGGUCCAGACAUCAUCUAGGACAACUAAAAACUUCUUCCCAGACAACUUUUGCUUCAAUUUUACCUGAAGCAGGUUCAAAUCUUUAUCAUCACCGCCAUCACCCAGUUGAAGAAGAAAUAUUUUUGUGACCCUGGAAACAUCAAAAUCUUCACCAACAGACACCCAGGCUUUUAAAUCAAACUCCAACAUGGGAUCAUUGUAGACUAGUUGAGCUAGAGUUGUCUUGCCAAGGCCUCCCAUCCCAACUGUGGAAAUCACAGACACCUGGGCAUCACUUGUCUCAGCAUUCAACAAUUUCAGCAUCUUCUUAUCUUCCUCCCUGCCAUAAACCUUUGCUUCAUUAACCAAAGAGGUUGAGGGUGGUCUUUCUGUCACACGGCUGAUCCUCCUUCCAAUAGACUCUGCUAAACGGAGUUCAUCUUUCUUUCUGCUUUAUGAUCUCAUCUAAUCUAGCACUAGUUUCCUCUAUUUUUCCAACCAUCUCAGCAUUGAACUUAACAGCAUAUUCACUCCACCACACAUAACAGAGAAAAACUUGUGCACCUUAUUAGUUGGAGGAACAGGUUCGUCUUCCAACUUGCGUCGCUGAACCUCCGUGGCAAGUUCAUCAAUGACAUCCUCCAGGUCGUAAGCCAAGUCUCUGAGAUCGCAUAACCAGAUCUCCACCAAUCGAUUUGCCGUCUGCUUCUCCUCUGCAUCUUCAAUCACCAAAUGAAUUCUCCUGAGCAUCUUCUCCCACUUCUUG
rnacentral:lncRNA from 1 species